AGCCUACUGUAAUGAGGAAGGAUCUCAGAGGCAUGCAAGAGCUGAUCUGGAGAGACUAGGGGAUGCACAUCUGAGCUGUUUAUCUGCAAAGAAAGGCAUAGUCAAUCCAAAAUACACUCCAGCACCACCUGUUUCCGCUGUUCCUAAGGCCUUGUCUACACUACUGUGUGGAGUACCACAGUUGACCAGAGAGCGCUCUGCCAUUGAUUUAGGGGGUCUUCACUGGGCCCGCUAAAUCGACACCCGCUACAUCAAGUGCAGCAGCGCCAAUCUACAGAGAUUUAGCACUUGAACCUAUAAGCACAUACCCAGCACAAAGGAGAG